UGAGAGUACGAGCUAAUCGGUAGUAAG
rnacentral:sRNA from 1 species